rnacentral:antisense_RNA from 1 species
CUUCACGGAGCCGAGCCACAGCGGGUUCCCCACGCGCCGGCCCUGGCCGUAGGUGGCGAGCAGCGCCUGCGCCUC